GUUGGGGCUGUUUGUGUUUGUAUUCUGUGCUCAAUCCAUUAACAUCUGAUCUCUGCACUUGCCAUCAUUACACGAAACUAACUGUAGCUUUUUUCUCUUUACCUGUAGAAACCUCUCCGCCAUGAGAGCUAAGUGGAGGAAGAAGCGAAUGCGCAGGCUGAAGCGUAAAAGAAGAAAGAUGAGGCAGAGGUCCAAGUAAACCGCUAGCUUGUGCACCCAUGGAGCCACAGGAGCAGAAAUAAGGAAAGCCAGAGGCCAGGGACGCUGGUACCAAUUGUUGGACUGCAUGCCUACUUUCUAGAGCUUGAUUCAGUGGAUCUAGAACAUCCAUCGCCAUCUGAUCGCAACGACCACCUUUGAGAGACUCGCCUUGUUCA